rnacentral:rRNA from 1 species
UGAUCAAGCUACAAAGAGCGCAUCAUGGAUGCCUUGGUGCCAAUAGGCGAUGAAGGACGUGGUAAGCUGCGAUAAGCUACGGAGAGCGGCAAACACGCUUUGACCCGUAGAUUUCCGAAUGGGAUAACCUGAGCGGGGUAACACCUGCUCGAGUUCGUGUGAAUACAUAGCACGAACAUCGCGACACCCGGUGAAGUGAAACAUCUCAGUAACCGGAGGAAGAGAAAGCGAAAGCGAUUCCGUCAGUAGUGGCGAGCGAAAGCGGAAAAGGCUAAACCCCCGCCACUUCAGAUCGUUGUGUGACUACCAUGUAUUACGUUUACAUUCUCAAACAUCCGACCGAAGAGCGCAUUUACAUCGGUUUGAGCACCGACUUGCGGUCCAGGUUGAAGCGUCAUCGGAGUGAACAUCCCGUGUGGCGCCUGGCGUACUACGAAGCUUAUGCUUCGGAAGCGGACGCCAUAGCCAGAGAGCGGCGGCUGAAGCACUAUGGAAAUGUGCAGCAACCGCUGAAGAAACGAAUCAUGAAGAGUCUCAACGCGGUUUGAAGUGGCGGGGGGGUUGUAGGAGCCCGAUGUGGUAGUGCAAAGGUUAGGUGAAGCUUUUGGAAAGCUGCGCCAUAGAGGGUGAAAGGCCCGUAACCGAAAACCCGAGCACGCCUAGGGAUUUCCUGAGUAAUACGAUGCACGUGAAACUUCGUAUGAAUCUGCGCCGACCACGGCGUAAGCCUAAAUACUCAUUGGCGACCGAUAGUGAACCAGUACCGCGAGGGAAAGGUGAAAAGAACCGCU